CUGGUUUUUCCCCUGGUGCUUUUAUGAUUCUACAAUAAGAAAAUGUACAACUAUCUAAAUUAUGUCUCUGUCUUUUUACAGUAAAAUAUAUAAUUUAGGGCCAGUUGAAGGACGCCUCCGGGUGCGGGAAUUUCUCGCUACAUUGAAGACCUGUUGGUGACCUUCUGCUGUUGUUUUUUUUUUCUAUGGUCGGGUUGUUGUCUCUUUGGCACAUUCCCAAUUUCCAUUCUCAAUUUUAAUUAAGUUUCUAAUAGUUGUUUUCGAACAACAUUUAAAUUAUUAAUUAAAUUGCUCACUUGAUUAAAAAUGUGACUAUCUUCAUUGGACAUUAGCCAAAUAAAUUGUGAUUGAUAAUCUAAAUUGUGAAAGUUUUUGUAACUUUUAACUAUGUUGGAAAUAAUGGAAACUCUCUCACUUUCCAAAGAUGAACAUUUAAGUAAAAAAUGGAGUUCAUCUUC
rnacentral:lncRNA from 1 species